AUGGACGCCGACGCCGACGACCGCUUUCAUCUAUCCGGACCGACGCAUAUGAUGCCCGGAGCCGGCGCCGUCCGUUCUUUAGCGACGACGACGAUGAUGAUUGACUGGGACAAUGAGGAGCACCGCCGGUGCAUCGCCGCCAGCAUCGUCAAAGGCACCUACAUCCUCGAGGACGACAGGAACACGUGCAGGCUGCUGGUGGGGGAGGCGCUCGCGCCGGCGUGGUGGGAGAGCUUCCAUUUCCGCAUUGUCAAAGUGCUCAAGGACGACUGCGACCGUAAGGGGGAGCACAAGUUCAUCUUCGGCGCCAUCUACGAGCACGUGCCGCCGGCGGGCGCCCGCCGCCACCCGUCGGCUCCGCAGUACGUCGUCGCCCUGCGAGGGACCAUGCUGAAGCACCCCGACCCCUUCAAGGACCUAUGGCUCGACCUCAAGGUCAUGGCCAACACCCUGCACCGGUGCAGGCGCUCCGAGCGCGCGCGCACGGAGGUCGAGGCGCUCCUCGGCGCCGGCUGCAGCCCCGUGUGGCUCACCGGGCACUCGCUCGGAGCGUCCCUGGCGCUGGACGUGGGGCGGAGGAUGAUGGCGGACAAGGGGGUGAGCCUCCCGACCUUCCUCUUCAACCCGCCGCAGGUGUCGCCCGCGCCGGUGAUCAACGCGCUGCACCCGACGGAGGUGGGCAAGAGGGACCUGUACGCCACCAGCUAUGUCUUGAAGGCCGGCCUCGGGCUCGUCCUCAGCCCCCACCGGAAGCGCAUGGAGGCCCUGUUCCAGAGGCUGGCACCGUGGGCGCCGCAGCUGUACGUGCACGACAGGGACGUCGUCUGCCUGGGUUUCAUCGACUACUUCCAGCAGCGGCAGCAGUUUCAGGAGCGCUUCCGCGGCGUGGCCAGGUCGGCGAUGACGCUGUCGUACCGUGACAUGCUCUUCUCCUUGGUAGGCACGGACAAGGAGCGCCCACAUCUCCUGCCUUCGGCCAUGCUCGUGAAGAACUCCAGUGACUGCGACGCCCACGGGCUCGAGCAAUGGUGGAAGCCAGACAGCGAGCUCAACUUGAGCGCCAAGCGUUACAGCUAUCCUGGAGCAUAA
rnacentral:rRNA from 1 species